CCAACGUUUAACGAUAUUCCAACCGAGCUCAAAGAACCGCGAGCGUGCAACUAAAAGCUGAAACUGGUUAAGGUUAACUUUAUUCAUUCUGCGUGAAUUGGCCGAGCAUGGGUGGCGGUCAACGUAUUUUACGCCAGGUGUAUUCCUUAAAAAUGAUUCAGCAUUGUUGGAGAAACUUUCUACUACUACGAACUUAUGAAUUUUAAAGAGAAAUAGAAGUUUUUAUUAGAUGCUGUGUCUCAAAGUAGAUCGUCUGCAUAUUUUAUAUUCUACAUGGGAAAAAUUAAUUUUGAUGUCGAAAAUAAAUUAUUUUAGAAAAAUAAUUUAGUUGGAUGGAGCAGUAAUCAGUCCUUGGAGACCGUGGCUUGAAGAAAAUUUCAACCACGAAAUAGAGGAGAAAAACAAAGUGUCAUUUGAGUAUGUGCUGAGUCGUCUUACGAGUAUAUGGAGGUAAAUUUUAUAUAAUAUUUAUUAUUUUAACUUUAUUAUCAAACAAUAGGACGCAUACUGUUUCCACUUAUUUAAAUUUCAAAAAACUGUUUAAGAUGACAUCAGUCAAUGUUCACUGUAAUAUUCCUGAAACUUUAACAUAGCAAAUAAGAAAAUCCGCUAAUUAUUGCAACAUAAAUUUAAAUAAAAUGGUCUAUUUACUGGCAGUCGUAAAACAUUGCAUCGAUUUCGGCACAAAAUCGGUUUUGAUAAAAAAAUAUUGAGAAGCGUAGUUGCAUUAGAUAGACUCAACGAUUAGUGGAAUGGAGACAAAAAUAUUUAAAUGAAAUGAAUCAAUUUCGCGUAGAAAAACGAAAUAUAUAUUAUUCAGACGAGACUUGGCUCGACAAACGACAACACUCUAUAGGGUGGCAAAAUUCUUUGUCAAACUGCAUUUGUACUUGCACCCAGAGGACAAGGAAUAUCCAUUUUACACUGUUGCUCAAGGGAAUGGUAACUUAUUUCGCAGCGGGGGUCAUAAAAAAAUCCGCUAAUAUACCCCUUAGAUUAUCACCUUAUCACUGCGAUUUGAAUCUUAUAGAAAUUAAAAAACAAAGUUUGAUUCAAUAAUACUCAAUGUGAAUGAAUACCAGAGAGUAGUUGAAGAGAAUGUGUUAACGAUGUACUCGAAGUGGAAAAUAA